ensembl:lncRNA
GGCCCAGCUGGUCCCGGGAGUGGGGGGGCACCUGGGUCUGCUCUGCUCUGGGUGGGCCAGGUCUGGGGGUGCGGGACUACGGUUUCCUUUUUGUGAUUUUUAUUUUACAUGGGAACAUAGCUUUUGCCAAAAACCCUGUGAGUUCAGCCGCUCAGUCGUGCCCGCCUCUGCAGUCCUCGGGGUUGCAGAGUUGGACACGGCUGAGCAACUGAACUGACGGUGUUUUGGCUUCCCAGGUGGCGCUAGUGGUGAAGAACCCACCUGCCAGUUCAGGAGACCUAAGAGAUGUGGGUUCGAUCCCUGGAUCGGGAAGAUCCCCUGGAGAAGGGCAUGGCUACCCACUCCAGUAUUCUUGCCAGGGGAAUCCCCUGGACAGAGGAGUCUGGUGGGCUACAGUCCGUGGGGUCGCAGAGUCAGACACAGCUGAGACGGCAGCACAGCACGUAACCGAUCCAGGGCUGCGCUUCAGGGGCGCAGCCGAGUGAUCCGGUCUCACACCUGCAGACGCCCUUGCUUCCUCGGACCCCUUUGCUGUGCGGGUUCUUACCGAGUUCUCAGCAGCACCACGAGGUCCUUGUUGGCUUCUGUAUUUCACGCAGAAGUGAUUGGUGUCUUUGUGUGACCUGGCAGUCUGCACGCCCACCCGUGCUGCUGCAGACGGCGUGGCGCUUCCGGCGGAGCCGCUCUCCGCGGCAGAACGUGUGUGCGCGCCGUCUGCGCCCACUCCGUGGCGGACGCCUCGUUUCUAGCCUUGGCUGCGGUUAGCAGGGCCGCUGUGAAGCCUGGGCUGCACGCUUCAGACUGGUUUUCUCUAGAUGGUGCCCACGAGUGGGACUGCCGAGCCAUACGGUAACUCUACGGUUGGUUUUCUAAGGAACUUUCGCACUUCUCUGGAGUGGCUGCACCAGUUUACAUUUCCACCAGCAGUGGAGCUGGGCUCCCUUCCUCCCCUCUCUCUCCAGCGUUUCCUGUUUCUGGACUUCCUGAUGACGGCCAUCCUGGCGAGUGUGAGGUGACGCCUCCCUGCAGCUCUGAUUCGCAUCUCUAAUAGCCGUGAUGCUGAGCAGCUUCUCCUAUGCCUCUUGCCUGUCUGUCUUCGUUGGGGAAAUGUCUGCAUAGAUCUCCUGCCCAUUUUUUAUGACUGCUUGUUGUUCUGACACUGAGCUCUAGGAGCCGCUUGUGCAGUUUGGAGACUGAUCCCCUGCCGGUCAUAUUGCUUGCGAGUCUUUCCUCCCAUUCUGUGGGUUGCCUGUUCCUGUUACGGCUUCCUUUCUGUGCAAAAGAAAGUCCCGUUUAUUUUUAUUUUCAUUACUCCAGGAAAUGGACCCAAGAAGAUGCUGCUGUGAUUCAUGUCAGAGGGAGUUCUGUCUGCUUCCCUCCAGCAGUUUCACAGUUACCAGCCUGAUAAGCAGGUCUUUAAUCCACUGAGUGUGUCUGUGUGUGGUGGUAGAGGAUGUUCUGAUUUCUUUCACAUGGAGCUGUCCAGUUUAGACUCUGCUUUCUGUGUCCAUGUCCCCCUCUGGUGGGCGAGGCUGGCCUAGCAGCCUCCCUGGAGGGUGGCCCGCCCAGCCCCAUGGGUGGACGGUGCUGCGUCCUGGCCGUCUGGUGGGCAGGGCCAUGUCCACCACGGGGGUUAAGGGGGGGUCUCACGGCAGCUUGUCUGCUGCCGGCUGGGGCUGUGACCCUGCCCCGGGGCUGUGUGACUGAGUCUCCAGGCUCUGGGUCUGACGGGCCUGGAUCUCAGCCCAGCGGCCGUGUUCACGGGGCCAGUGUGUCCAGGCGAGCCCCAGCCACCCCGUCUCUGCAGGAGACGCUCCGCGGGCAGCAGGUAGGUCCGGCCCAGGCUCCUGCCCGGCUCGGCCUGCGUGAGGUUCUGUGUGGCCGUGUCAGCGUGAGUCUGUGGGUCUCUGCCUCACGCCUUCACAGCCAGAUGCUCCGGGGGCCCGGGGGUCACAGCCCCGCGUGGGGCGCAGGGUGGGCGCCCAGCGCUCACUCCCGGGGGACGCUCUGCAGUGUCACCUCCCCCAGGGUGGGGGGCUCCGCCGUCUCGCUGUGGUUCCUCGUCAUCAGUGGCAGGUCAUCGCAGGGAGGCUUUGGUCUCUGCCGACUGCCGGCGUGCUCGUGGGAGGUGGGCCCAGGCCGUCUCCACGCUGCAGCCUUGGAUGGUCUCCUGAGACGACGUCUGAUGGCGUUCUCGCCGUGGGGCAGGUCCCGUGGGGGUCCAGAGCUGGCCUUGCCCCCGGGCAGAGGCCCCCCCGCCCCGCGUGGCGUGUAGACCUGAAGGACGGCCGACCCGCUCCCCUGGGCGCGAUGGAGUGGGUCGCCCUUCCGUUCGGCAUCAGGGCUGAGGCAGGAGGCCCGUAUCUGCGGCUCUGCCCCCGUUGCUCUGCUUACUUCCCUUGGGUGCGGCAGCCAGCACCAGCUUCAGGCCUGUCUACUCUGGGAGAUGCUGUGGCUACUAAUCCCUGUUCAGCAUACGGAAAUGCUUCCCUGGGGUGUGGGUCGUGGGGAGUCUUCCUGGGCUGUCCCCACCCCACGGACGCUCCUGCCAAGGGCUAUCACGUGGCCUGUGCCCCGUGGUCUGGGGGCUGCUCCCAGAACCGGGUGGGGUGGCACGGCUUGCCCAAGGGCAGCAGGGCAGGAAAAGCGGAUGGAGCACCAGGCGAGAACAGAGUGGGCGCCGGAGGGGCCGGGCUGAGGUCGCGGCAGCAGCCCCGAGGACGGUGUGUGAGGCAGUGCAGCCAGGGGCUGCAACGCCAAGAGCAGCCGCUGGGUGGCGCCCACGGCCCUGGCUGGAGCGUCUGGAGCCCGGGGCGGACGCAGCCCCCGAGGAGGCAGGCUUGGGGGCGAGGCAGGCUGGGGGGCAGCCGCACCUGUCUCCCCUGCCCUCACGGCCCUGCCUGAAGUGCGGGGCUUCCUGCCCGUGGAGCAAGGUGCCAGCUCCUGCUCCUGCCAAGGCGUACUCCUGGCCGGCAGGGAGAGC